UUGCAGCUUGUUACAGAGACCUUUUCUUUUCCUUUCCUUGCCGACACCAUAUAUUCUCUUAUCCAGCCAACCCUCUUGCCAAGUUCUCAGCUCUCUUUUUGCCUUGUAUAAAACCCUGCCUGCCCUUAAACCCCAAUCCUACGAUUUCAUCCAUUAAUUAGUGUUUUUGUUUGGCAAUAUGAGUGAUUACAAGUACGGCCACCCCUAUCCUCCUCCAGGUGGUUAUACUUAUAAUCAAGGGCCACCUCCACCAGUAAUGGCACCUCCUCAGUAUUAUGGUGCCCCACCACCGCCACCCAGGAGAGAACCAGGUUUUCUUGAGGGAUUCCUUGCAGCUUUAUGUUGUUGCUGUCUCUUGGAUGAUUGCUGCUGCGACCCGUCUGUGAUAAUUGUGGACUAGGGAUCUUACAUCACCUUACUGUUUAUCUAAAGCUUUGACAACAGUAUGAUUUCAUCACAUGUAUUUAUAUUUUGCCGAUGGAGUUGACAAAUCCAUUUAUGUAUUGUAAUAUGUGAAGCUUAGAUAUUCUCAAUGACACUUUCGAUUUUACAA